GCUAUUACAAAUGUAAAUUUUGUUAACACAUCCAUAUCGUAUACACUCUAAAUUCAACACGCUACCGCUUUGCGACUCUAAACAGCUUCCUGUUUUCUUUCCUAUCCCGACGUCUCGGUCACGGUCACGUGCUGGAGGUUCAGGAGGCGAAGGCCAUGAUGGAUAACCACCCUCAGUGGGAUAUCCCAGAAACUGAAGAAGAGGAGGAUGACCAGGAGGACAGUGAUGGCAUUGAGGAAUCUGAGGAAGAUGAAGAAGACAACGGCUAAACCAGUCAUCUCUCUAUGGCUCUGAGGGAUUAGGCCUGACUUCCCCACCAGCAGCGGCCAAAGUGGCCCGAACUGGGGAUGACAACUGAUGAGGAUCAAGGCUUGGGCUAUUCUGCCCUCUGAGAGGCACUGUGAACUGAGAAGAGCUGGACAGGAGAAAAGCCCUUGGACAGGAGAGACGCAAUCUCAAUGUUCAAUGAAUGGAUCCCCCUACAUAGGUUAGAGAGCCCUGCAGCCUAAUUAAUUACUCCUGACUUUCUUGUUAAAAUGUUAAUAUCAGGACCUCACUAAUUUGCUAUUAAUGGUGGUCCUAUAUUUAAAAAACUGAACAAAACUUAAGAAAGACAACAUUUAAAGGGGAAAUUACAUAGGCUACAGUUGGCCCAUUAAAACAAAACAAGAGUGGUAAAGAGUUGGUAAUACGUAGCUAUAGUUAUUUCUGUAUGACAGUACCCUUUUAAGGAGUUAGAAACUGCAAUUCACGGUUUCUUUUUUUCAAGUGGGAUAGUUCAAAGGCAAAAUGUGGUGUUAGGUUUUUAGCUUACAAUAAAAGGUACAAAAGCUUGAUCUUUUUCAAAAGCUACACCUUUGUACCUAUAUUCAAGUUUCAAGUUUAAUUGACUUAUAUAGCACCAUUUAAACAGCAGCAGUUGACCAAUGUGCUUUACAGCGUUAUAUAAAAUAAAUACAAGCAAAAAAUUAAAAAUCUGAUCAAAUCAGUGACUAAUUAUCAACAAGAUAUCAAAAGAAAAUCAGAACAACAAAAGUCUAAUUAAAAAAAUUAAUCAUCAAGGGAAAAUAAAAGUAAUGGAAAAGAGUUUCACGCAAAGAUUUGAAAAUCUGUAUUGUAGGAGCAGAUCUAAUAAGAACUGCUCCAGAGUUAUGUCCCGCGACUGCAAAAAUACGUUCACCUCUUUGAUUAAUAUUUACACCACAAUGAUGUAGUCAAAAAAAACGUUUUUAAAUAGGUCCAAGUAGGCUUAUACAUGACAACAUUUUCAAAAUGAUUUGCAUUUACAAAUAUCCGCGAAAACAGCUAAAAAUGCUGUAUUACAUAUGCCAGGCCAGUAUUUGGCGCUAUCACCUUAUUAGUAAACAGUACCUGUUGCCAUGUGUAUAUGAUGCAUCUCCGCUGUUGGUUGUAAUAAUGUGAAGUAAAUCCACACAUCCAUACUUGAGGGUAGAAGAGAGCGCUGGUUAUUCACUCCCCCCACCGACAAUUCCUGCAGGUCCAGAGACUUAAAAUGCCCCAUUAUGCCUUUUUACCUUUCAUGCAGUGUGUCAUGUAGCUGUAUGUGAACAUAAACUAUCUGCAAAGUUGUGAAGCUGACAGUGCAUGAUAGAUAAAGUUAUUGUCUGUAAAAAAAAAAAAAAAGAAUCGAGUCCUAAUGGCCCAAAGUCGUCAGGAAUUUGAAUCUUAUUCUGUUAUUCUAUCUCACAAAGUAACACAUUUGCAUAAUGUCCGCCCACAUUUUACAUUUUACGUUGUAAACUUGCCUGCCCACAAACACAGUCCAAUCCAUAAUCUGGAUCAGCUAAUGACCAUAAAUGACCUGGAUGGUGUGGCUAGAAACCAUGUAAAACCAGCUCUAUUUCACCGGGGCAGUACCCUUACAAAAGGUACAUCUUCGAAGGGUGCAUAUCAGUACCUUAUAUUGGAAUAUUAUAUCUAAAUGGUACCUUUUAAAAGGGUACUCAACCAAUGAUAGUUUUUGUACCUUCUUUCCUGAGAGUGUGGAUUAAUAUAUAAAACCUUAUAUAAAACACAACUUCUGCUAACAGGCUAAACUUCUGCUUCUGACUAAACACCCCUUCACAAAAAUGAAAUAUAAUUUACAACUAUAGGCUAUAUAUGCUGCUGGAAUUAAAAAAACAAACAAACAUAUGUUAGAGGAAUAUGUGUUUUCUCAAAAAGCACACAUCAUGUGUGAUUUUUUUUAUCCACCGUGAAUAAAAUUGGGUGACAUUUGCUGUUGGAGAACUGAUUAGUAGCACUAAUCAAUGAUGUUUUGAGCUUGUCUCCCUC